rnacentral:rRNA from 1 species
UACGGGGGGGGCAAGCGUUGUUCGGAAUUACUGGGCGUAAAGGGCGUGUAGGUGGCCAACUAAGUCCGACGUGAAAUCCCCAGGCUUAACCUGGGAACUGCGUCGGAUACUGGAUGGCUUGAAUUCGGGAGAGGGAUGCAGAAUUCCAGGUGUAGCGGUGAAAUGCGUAGAUAUCAGGAGGAACACCGGUGGCGAAGGCGGAUCUCUGGGCCUUACCUGACGCUCAGGCGCGAAAGCUAGGGGAGCGAACUGG